rnacentral:rRNA from 1 species
GACGAACGCUGGCGGCGUGCCUAAUACAUGCAAGUCGAGCGGUCCCUUCGGGGAUAGCGGCGGACGGGUGAGUAACACGUAGGCAACCUGCCUGUAAGAUCGGGAUAACUACCGGAAACGGUAGCUAAGACCGAAUAGCUGAUUCCUUCGCAUGGAGGGAUCAUGAAACACGGGGCAACCUGUGACUUACAGAUGGGCCUGCGGCGCAUUAGCUAGUUGGUGGGGUAACGGCUCACCAAGGCGACGAUGCGUAGCCGACCUGAGAGGGUGAUCGGCCACACUGGGACUGAGACACGGCCCAGACUCCUACGGGAGGCAGCAGUAGGGAAUCUUCCGCAAUGGACGAAAGUCUGACGGAGCAACGCCGCGCGAGUGAUGAAGGUUUUCGGAUCGUAAAGCUCUGUUGCCAGGGAAGAACGUCGUGGGGAGUAACUGCCCUGCGAAUGACGGUACCUGAGAAGAAAGCCCCGGCUAACUACGUGCCAGCAGCCGCAGUAAUAC